rnacentral:lncRNA from 1 species
UUUGAUCAAAUAAAUAAAUUGUAUUGAUAAAAAAUUUAAGUACAACUGCUCCGGGUAUACCUUGGCAUACAAAAUAAGACAUUACAAUGAUCUAAUGAUCCAAAACAAGUGACUGAGCGUGAAUCAAAACAUUACAACUUCGGCUGAUUGAAUACAUGAAGUGCCAAGCUACUGGCCGGUUUCGAAUUCUCUUAGAGGAGAUGAAAGUCCUAUCUUUCGAUAACAGUUCAUAACCACGCUAGCCGAACUUCAUAGCUUCAAGGACCCUGGAAUCAUCAAAGAUAAAAUUAGUCUGGGCGGAUUUAAUGAAUUCUUGUAAUAGGUAGACCGCUUUGCAAUUGGACAUCAAUAGCAAACAACAUAUCAAUGCUGGAAAACCCAAGCGAGCAGUUGUAAGUGUUAUGCCUCGCCACACGUAGCUCCACAUGGCCAACCCACUGUAGCUAUUAGGCCACUUAAACCCGAAUCACCUUGCAUUUUGGCCGAGGCCCUUAUGUCGACCCAUUUUGCAAUAUGGCCGAAGCCGAAGCCCAUUUCCCCAAGGUGGAGUCCUCCGAAGCCCAUAUUGCCAAGGCAAAAGCCUCCAAGCAUCUUUCAUUAUUACUUCUUCCAAGAUAUCUUAUUCUACACAAAAUGACUGAUGAGACAUUAGUCAUGAGUGUAAGUAUUAAGUCUUAUCAACAAAGUGGCGACUCUGCUUGAGUAAUAAAUGUAUAGCAGGCUAGCAAGUCAAAGAGUGAUGCCUAGGAUUUGAUGUAUGAAAUAAGGAGAUAAAGCCACGUGUAUCUUCAUCCAAGGGCCACCAUUUCGCUUGUACUAUUAUAAAUACUCCCCCAUAUAACCCUUUUAAAACUAAUGUGGCUUUGAAUACAAAAACUCUACUCUUUAUUUCCUCUUCCAUGAUAAUUGUAUUUACUUCAUGUUAGUUCAUUACGGUUGGCAAUUAUUGUACAAUCGUUUCGUAAAUACAUU